rnacentral:rRNA from 1 species
AUUGAACGCUGGCGGCAGGCCUAACACAUGCAAGUCGAACGCCCUAGCAAUAGGGAGUGGCAGACGGGUGAGUAACACGUGGGAACCUUCCCUAUAGUACGGAAUAACUCAGGGAAACUUGUGCUAAUACCGAAUGUGCCCUUCGGGGGAAAGAUUUAUCGCCUUUAGAGCGGCCCGCGUCUGCUUAGCUAGCUGGUGAGGUAAAGGCUCACCAAGGCGACGAUCAGUAGCUGGUCUGAGAGGAUGAUCAGCCACAUUGGGACUGAGACACGGCCCAAACUCCUACGGGAGGCAGCAGUGGGGAAUAUUGGACAAUGGGCGCAAGCCUGAUCCAGCCAUGCCGCGUGAGUGAUGAAGGCCUUAGGGUUGUAAAGCUCUUUCACCGGAGAAGAUAAUGACGGUAUCCGGAGAAGAAGCCCCGGCUAACUUCGUGCCAGCCGCCGCAGUAAUAC